CCGACAGGUAUCCGCCUGCUCGGACACUGACUCCGGUACCUGACACGGCCGGGGCAG
rnacentral:ncRNA from 1 species